GCUCUAGCUCUAUCUUCCUCCGGACCCCGAAGCUUAAGAAUUAUCCGCCUCACUCUCUUUUUUAGAAAUAGGAGGGAAAGGUAGAGUGGAAAUUGAUUUCUUGCAGAGACUGAGGCGCUGAAUGAUAGAGGGAAUAAACAUUUGCCCUGGAUAAAAAUGUUCUUGGUAAGUAAUCUUAUUUUCUGCGGUUGAAAAAGAAACAGAUUGCUUCUCACUGCCCCAUCCCCCACUCCAUUCAUUUAUUUGCUCUCUGUAUGUAAAUCACGAGCUGGGUCAGUGGAAAUUUUUUUUUCCUCUUCCCUAGGAGAGUAGUAGCUUGUAAGGGUGAAAUUGAAGUAGAGGGUUUUAAGGAGACAAUAUGAACGCUUUAAGGUCCUUUAUAUCCUGCAUUAAAAACUCAAAGACAGAUAAAGCAGUUAAAUCCCUGUUUGUUUCCAAAAGUGGUAUUUAAGUAUUUCCCUUAUUUCCUACUAACUGUCUUUCCUUUCUGAAAAUAAAGAAAAGAGUUUUAGGUAGUGGGCUCAUGUCUAUGCUUUUAGUAUGUCUUGGCCAUGUUCUGAAAUACAAUUUCAGUUCCAAAAUUAAGAAUGGUUAUUUUUCACAUUUCGCAGGUAUAUUAAAGCUAUAGAAACCACUUAUUAAAUGUGCAUCUCGGUUCCAAUUAUUGCACCAGAUACAAAUUAGUAGUAUCCACAAUGGCAUAUUGUGGUGGUACUACAAAUUCAUAAAGCCCUCUGGUUUUCCAUGAGUCUCUAGCACCCCCAGCCUGUGCACGCUCACAAUGUGAAGAGUGGAUUGGUGUAGCAGUAGGGAAGAAGCCAAACGGCUCUUGAUUGUGCUUACAUCAUAUGUCAUUAAGUGUAGAGAAUAACAUGUUUUGCAAAUUGUGUGAACUUGGUUUUCAAGAGUAAGCUGACCAUUUUUGAUGCACAAAAUUAAGGGAGAUUUGCUCUCAGAAAAAUCAUUGCAUUUUUAAUUAUAAAAUAUAUUUUACUGGUAAAACAUUUAAAUUAAACUUUCUUGUCUAUUGUUAUUAUCCUACUGCAAUUUAUUAUCCUCUAAAUUUAAUGACAAAGAAUAAGCUAAUUGGCACAAAAUGCAUUCCUGAUGAAAACAGGAUGACUGAAAAAUCAUCUGAAAUGUAUAAUACUAAAAUGUUAUUGGUAAGAUAAACUUCAUUUUAGAAAAUCAGUAUUCUAGAAAUCAGUAGUAUAAAAUUUCAGAAGAGAGGUAGUCAAGUGGCAUAUUGCAAGACAAAAUAUGUUUGUUCUCAACUAUCUAUAUAGUCUUUAUAGCCAUCAACAUUUGCAAGAGAAAAAAAAUUCACUAAGGGCAUGUUGGUAUAACACUUUUUUCUUUCUCUCCUCAGGCUGUUGUCCAGCUCUAAUGAUGUCCUAGAGCAGAAGUGUUUCUUCUGAUGUCUCAUUUUAACAAGAGGAUGAUGUCUGUGUGAGAAAUUCUACACUGAAUAAGACUGGUUGGGACUCAAAGAAGCUACAAGGAUGCACUUUUCCAGCACAAACAUGUUCUAGGUUGGAUGAUCAAAUGCAUAUGCCUAGCAAUUGAAAUCUCCAACUAGGAACAAAAAACUAAUCACAAAAAGCAAAGGAUUCACUUUGGUGUUCACAGUAGGAGCAACAGCAGCAUCUUGUUUGCAGUUCUGGUAGCAGCAGCAGCUGCAAUGGCUUCAGCCAUAUCAAAUAUCCUGUGGCACAGAGGGCUUCGAGGUUAAGAGAUACAAAUUUGCUUACCGCAUGAACUUUGCAGUUUGAUUUUUACUUUGAUUUGGUCACCUUGCUUUCUUUGCUCUUGAUUGUUUUCUAGCCCUACUUCUGUGACUACAUUAAAUAAUUCUUUAGCUAAUAAUAAUCCUUCCAAUAAAUUCACUCUUCUGCUUGAAUGAUUCACA
rnacentral:lncRNA from 1 species